AGAGUUUGAUCCUGGCUCAGGAUGAACGCUAGCGGCAGGCCUAAUACAUGCAAGUCGAGCGGCAAGUUGGGUAGUAAUACUUGACCUAGAGCGGCGCACGGGUGCGUAACGCGUAUGCAACCUACCUUUUACUGGGGGAUAGCCCGGAGAAAUCUGGAUUAAUACCCCAUGGUACCUAAGAAUCGCCUGGUUUUUAGUUUAAAGAUUUAUCGGUAAAAGAUGGGCAUGCGUCUGAUUAGCUAGUUGGCGGGGUAACGGCCCACCAAGGCGACGAUCAGUAGGGGUUCUGAGAGGAAGGUCCCCCACACUGACACUGAGAUACGGGCCAGACUCCUACGGGAGGCAGCAGUAGGGAAUAUUGGGCAAUGGUCGCAAGACUGACCCAGCCAUGCCGCGUGCAGGAAGACGGCCCUCUGGGUUGUAAACUGCUUUUAUCUGGGAAGAAAAAGUCCAUGCGUGGAAAAUUGCCGGUACCAGAUGAAUAAGCACCGGCUAACUCCGUGCCAGCAGCCGCGGUAAUACGGAGGGUGCAAGCGUUGUCCGGAUUUAUUGNGUUUAAAGGGUGCGUAGGCGGCUGAAAAGUCAGCGGUGAAAGACUUCGGC
rnacentral:rRNA from 1 species